rnacentral:rRNA from 1 species
GGUUAAGUUAUUAAGGGCGCAU